UACAGAGGGGGCAAGCGUUGUUCGGAAUUACUGGGCGUAAAGGGCGCGUAGGCGGCCUUCUAAGUCGAACGUGAAAUCCCCGGGCUCAACCCGGGAACUGCGUCCGAUACUGGAAGGCUUGAAUCCGGGAGAGGGAUGCGGAAUUCCAGGUGUAGCGGUGAAAUGCGUAGAUAUCGUGAGGAAGACCAGUGGCGAAGGCGGAUCUCUGGACAGUUCCUGACGCUGAGGCGCGAAGGCCAGGGGAGCAAACGGG
rnacentral:rRNA from 1 species